rnacentral:rRNA from 1 species
GACGAACGCUGGCGGCGUGCUUAACACAUGCAAGUCGAACGGAAAGGCCCUGCUUGCAGGGUACUCGAGUGGCGAACGGGUGAGUAACACGUGGGUGAUCUGCCCUGCACUUCGGGAUAAGCCUGGGAAACUGGGUCUAAUACCGGAUAGGAGCCAUUUUUAGUGUGAUGGUUGGAAAGUUUUUUCGGUGUAGGAUGAGCUCGCGGCCUAUCAGCUUGUUGGUGGGGUAAUGGCCUACCAAGGCGGCGACGGGUAGCCGGCCUGAGAGGGUGGACGGCCACAUUGGGACUGAGAUACGGCACAGACUCCUACGGGAGGCAGCAGUGGGGAAUAUUGCACAAUGGGCGCAAGCCUGAUGCAGCGACGCCGCGUGGGGGAUGACGGCCUUCGGGUUGUAAACUCCUUUCGCUAGGGACGAAGCUUUUGUGACGGUACCUAGAUAAGAAGCACCGGCUAACUACGUG